rnacentral:piRNA from 1 species
UUUUUCAGUGUUUAACAUGAC